UAUUAAUUCUAAUAAUGUAUUGUUUAGAUUUUCUAUCUACACAGUCUUAUUGAACGGUAGACACUGGUGCCCCUGCUCUUUGGGCUUUUGGACUUGGAGUAAUUACACCACCAGUUUUGCUGGACCUCCAGCUUACAGAUGGACGAUUGUGGACUUCUCGGCCUCCAUAGCCACGCAUUCCUUCAUGUCUUUCAAGGCCAGCUUAAGUGUCUUCUCCUCUUGGAAGUAUUCUGGCAACCCCAAGCCAAGUGAGGUGAUCCUCAUCUGUGACCCUACAUCAGUUAAGUCACUGUUCAGUGACUGUUUUACUUUCUCAUCUGUUUUCCAAAUAUACUAAGAGUUUUGUCAUCCUAGGCAGCAUCUUGUCUACCUCUGAAUCCAGGAUGAGAAAAGAUUGAAUAGAAAUAUUCUACAUUUCAAAAAAUUCUAUGAAGACUCAAUACUUAUGGCAGGAGAGAAUUUCUCCCUGGAUAGAAGGAACUUUUUUUGUUUUUUUGGCUGAGCCUCGCAGCAUGUGAGAUCUUACUUCCCC